rnacentral:pre_miRNA from 9 species
UCUCGAUAGCGUUAAAGUUAACUUAUAUUUGUAUGCAGUUAGAACGUUUGCCUACGUUUGCCGCUAGGGGCGCUGUUCCAACUGCAUACGAGUUAACUUUUACGCUAUCGA